CUCAUUUAAAGAGUGCGUAAUAGCUCACUGGUCGAGUGAUUGUGCGCCGAAAAUGUAACGGGGCUAAAAUUCAUACCGAAGCUUAGGCUUUGCACACUUUGUGUGCGAGGGGUAGAUGAGCGUUGUGUAAGUCUGCGAAGCUACACCGAAAGGAGUAGUGGAGAUAUCACAAGUGAGAAUGCCGGAAUGAGUAGCGAGAAUUAUGUGAGAAUCAUAAUGGCCGAAAAUCUAAGGUUUCUUGAGGAAGGUUCGUCCGCUCAAGGUAAGCCGGGAGCUAAGGCGAGGCCGAGAGGCGUAGUCGAUGCACAUACGGUAAAGAUUCCGUAGCCACCGAAGUCGUUAAAUACAGGGACACAGGAACAUAGCCUAACCCCACCGUUGGUUGAGUGGGGCGUAAGGGAGCGAAAAUUAGUAGCGAAGUAGGUGAUUGUACACUGGCGAGAAAAGCUGUAUGAAUUGACAAGGUGCCCGUACCGCAAACCGACACAGGUAGAUGAGGAGAGAAUCCUAAGACCAGCGGGAGAAGUGUUGUUAAGGAACUCGGCAAAAUGACCCCGUAACUUCGGGAUAAGGGGAGCCUACGCGAGUAGGCCGCAGAGAAUAGUCUCAAGCGACUGUUUAGCAAAAACACAGGUCUAUGCUAAAUCGAAAGAUGAUGUAUAUGGGCUGACGCCUGCCCGGUGCUGGAAGGUUAAGGGGAAGUGUUAGAGCAAUCGAAGCACUGAACUUAAGCCCCAGUAAACGGCGGCCGUAACUAUAACGGUCCUAAGGUAGCGAAAUUCCUUGUCAGGUAAGUUCUGACCCGCACGAAUGGCGUAACGACUUGAGAGCUGUCUCAACAACAUACCCGGCGAAAUUGAAGUACUGGUAAAGAUGCCAGUUACCCGUGAUAAGACGGAAAGACCCCAUGGAGCUUUACUGUAACUUGAUAUUGAAUUUUUGUAUUACAUGUACAGGAUAGGUGGGAGACAGAGAACUAAUGCCGCCAGGUGUUAGGGAGUCGAUGUUGGGAUACCACUCUUGUAAUAUGAAGGUUCUAACCUGCACCCGUGAAUCCGGGUGGGGGACACUGUCAGGUGGACAGUUUGACUGGGGCGGUCGCCUCCUAAAAGGUAACGGAGGCGUUCAAAGGUUGGUUCAGCACGGACGGAAAUCGUGCAACGAGUGCAAACGCAUAAACCAGCCUAACUGCGAGACCGACAGGUCGAGCAGUAACGAAAGUUGGAGUUAGUGAUCCGGCGG
rnacentral:rRNA from 1 species